rnacentral:rRNA from 1 species
UUUUACUGGAGGAUGGUGGGGAUGACGUCAAGUCAUCAUGGCCCUUACGAGUAGGGCUACACACGUGCUACAAUGGCAGAUACAAAGAGAAGCGACCUCGCGAGAGCAAGCGGAACUCAUAAAGUCUGUCGUAGUCCGGAUUGGAGUCUGCAACUCGACUCCAUGAAGUCGGAAUCGCUAGUAAUCGUAGAUCAGAAUGCUACGGUGAAUACGUUCCCGGGCCUUGUACACACCGCCCGUCACACCAUGGGAGUGGGUUGCAAAAGAAGUAGGUAGCUUAACCUUCGGGAGGGCGCUUACCACUUUGUGAUUCAUGACUGGGGUGAAGUCGUAGCAAAA